rnacentral:rRNA from 1 species
AACGAACGCUGGCGGCGUGCCUAACACAUGCAAGUCGUGCGAGAAAGUCCUUCGGGAGCGAGUAAAGCGGCGCACGGGUGAGUAACACGUAGGUAACCUGCCCCCCAGUCUGGAACAACUAGAGGAAACUCUAGCUAAUGCCGGAUGAGACCACGAUCCCGUUCGGGGGUGCGGCCAAAGAUGGCCUCUACUUGUAAGCUAUCGCUGAGGGAUGGGCCUGCGGGCCAUUAGCUUGUUGGUGAGGUAACGGCUCACCAAGGCUGUGAUGGCUAGCUGGUCUGAGAGGAUGACCAGCCACACUGGGACUGAGACACGGCCCAGACUCCUACGGGAGGCAGCAGUGGGGAAUAUUGCGCAAUGGGCGAAAGCCUGACGCAGCGACGCCGCGUGGGUGAUGAAGGCCUUCGGGUCGUAAAGCCCUGUCGCAGGGGAAGAAUAAGCAUCGGUAUAAUACGCCGGUGCCCUGACGGUACCCUGCAAGAAAGCACCGGCUAACUCCGUG